UUCGGAUCUAGUGGCGCACGGGUGAGUAACACGUGGGAACCUGCCUUUAGGUACGGAAUAACGUCUGGAAACGGACGCUAAUACCGUAUAUUUCCUCCGGGAAAAAGGUCCGCCGCCUAAAGAGGGGCCCGCGUCAGAUUAGCUUGUUGGUGGGGUAAUGGCCUACCAAGGCUACGAUCUGUAGUUGGUCUGAGAGGAUGAUCAGCCACACUGGGACUGAGACACGGCCCAGACUCCUACGGGAGGCAGCAGUGGGGAAUAUUGGACAAUGGGGGCAACCCUGAUCCAGCAAUGCCGCGUGUGUGAUGAAGGCCCUAGGGUUGUAAAGCACUUUCAACGGUGACGAUGAUGACGGUAACCGUAGAAGAAGCCCCGGCUAACUUCGUGCCAGCAGCCGCGGUAAUACGAAGGGGGCGAGCGUUGUUCGGAAUAACUGGGCGUAAAGGGCGCGUAGGCGGUCUAUCUAGUUGGGCGUGAAAGCCCUGGGCUCAACCCAGGAAUUGCGUCCAAUACUAAUAGACUAGAGACCGAGAGAGGAUAGUGGAAUUUCCAGUGUAGAGGUGAAAUUCGUAGAUAUUGGAAAGAACACCAGUGGCGAAAGCGACUAUCUGGCUCGGUUCUGACGCUGAGGCGCGAAAGCGUGGGGAGC
rnacentral:rRNA from 1 species